rnacentral:tRNA from 1 species
GGCCUCGUAGCUCAGUUGGCUAGAGCGUUGGUUGUACUAAUGCCUUGCUGGCGUGCGUUCGAAUCCCACUGAGGCCG